AUGGAGUGACGGAGAAGGAUAGCAAGAGCCUAUUAUUGGAUUUAGGUUUAAAUGCUUAGGUUAGUGAGUUGGAAAAUCCGCUACACUAUUAAAACUGAAACAUGAUGACGCCGAUUCCUACGGGGAUCUAAGUCUUGUGAAUCCAUGCUUCCAAGAAAAACUUCUAAAGAUAUUGUAUAGGAACCUGUACCGCAAACCACCACAGGUGGUCAAGGAGAGAAUCCUAAGGUGAGCGAGAGAACUAUGGUUAAGGAACUCGGCAAAAUGACCCCGUAACUUCGGGAUAAGGGGAGGUCACUUCGGUGACCCGCAGAGAAUUGUCCCAGGCAACUGUUUACCAAAAACACAGGUCUCUGCUAAAGCGUAAGCUGAUGUAUAGGGGCUGACGCCUGCCCAGUGCUGGAAGGUUAAGAUGAUUUGUUAGUCGGACGAAAGUCGAUAACGGCGAAGCAUUGACUUGAAGCCCCAGUGAACGGCGGCCGUAACAAUAACGGUCCUAAGGUAGCGAAAUUCCUUGUCAGGUAAGUUCUGACCCGCACGAAAGGCGUAUGAUCUGGGAGCUGUCUCAACCAUAGACUCGGUGAAAUCUUAAUACCUGUGAAAAUGCAGGUUACCCGCAGCAGGACGGAAAGACCCCAUGGAGCUUUACUGUAGGUUGAUAUUGGAAUCAGAUGUUAGUUGUAGAGGAUAGGUGGUAGACUAUGAUGUAUAGACGCUAGUUUAUACGGAGUCGCCCUUGGAAUACCACCCUUCUGAUAUUUGAUUUCUAACUCGCACCCAUUAUCUGGGUGGAGGACAGUGUCUGCUGGGCAGUUUGACUGGGGCGGUCGCCUCCUAAAAAGUAACGGAGGCGCCCAAAGGUUCCCUCAGAAUGGUUGGAAAUCAUUCAAAGAGUGUAAUGGUAUAAGGGAGCUUGACUGUGAGACUUACAAGUCGAGCAGGUACGAAAGUAGGGCAUAGUGAUCAGGCGGUAGAGUAUGGAAUUGCCGUCGCUUAACGGAUAAAAGUUACCCUGGGGAUAACAGGCUGAUACCACCCAAUAGUUCACAUAGACGGUGGUGAUUGGCACCUCGAUGUCGGCUCGUCACAUCCUGGAGGUGGAUUCGCUUCCAAGGGUUAGGCUGUUCGCCUAUUAAAUUGGCACGCGAGCUGGGUUCAGAACGUCGUGAGACAGUUCGGUCCCUAUCCGCUGUGGGCGUAGGAAAAUUGAGGAGAGCUGUUCCUAGUACGAGAGGACCGGAAUGGACUGACCAAUGGUGUAUCUGUUGUAACGCCAGUUGCAGUGCAGAGUAGCUAUGUCGGGAAGGGAUAACCGCUGAAAGCAUCUAAGCGGGAAGCCCACUUCAAGAUGAGUUUUCCCAUAUGUAUAUAGUAAGAACCGUUGUAGACUACAACGUUGAUAGGCUAGAGGUGGAAGCGUAGUGAUACGUUGAGCUGACUAGUACUAAUAGUUCGAGGAUUUAAUCG
rnacentral:rRNA from 1 species